rnacentral:rRNA from 1 species
AAGUCGAGGGGCAGCAUGAUUGAAGCUUGCUUCAAUUGAUGGCGACCGGCGCACGGGUGAGUAACGCGUAUCCAACCUUCCGUACACUCAGGGAUAGCCUUUCGAAAGAAAGAUUAAUACCUGAUGGUAUGAUGAGAUUGCAUGAUAUCAUCAUUAAAGAUUCAUCGGUGUACGAUGGGGAUGCGUUCCAUUAGGUAGUAGGCGGGGUAACGGCCCACCUAGCCUACGAUGGAUAGGGGUUCUGAGAGGAAGGUCCCCCACAUUGGAACUGAGACACGGUCCAAACUCCUACGGGAGGCAGCAGUGAGGAAUAUUGGUCAAUGGACGAGAGUCUGAACCA